CCCGGUGAAUAAUUUUGAUAGGUGUUUAAACGGCCGCAGUUGAGAGCUGUGCUGAGGUAGCGUAAUAAUUUGUCCUUUAAUUAAGGAAAGGAAUGAAUGGUUUGACGUAAAAACUUCUGUCUCCUUUUUAGAUAAAAAAGUUUUCUUCUUGGUGAAAAGGCCAAGAAAAAAAUAAAAGACGAGAAGUCCCUAUCGAGCUUGAUUGGGUUGCUAUCUUUUUGUAGGUGGUUGUUGAAGUUUGGUUGGGGCAAUUUAGGAGCAAAGUAAGACUUCUAUUUAAUUCAUGGAGCCAAAAGGUUUGAUAUAAGGAAAAAGUUACCGUAGGGAUAACAGCGUUAUCUUUCUUGAGAGAACAAAUUGAAGGGAAG
rnacentral:rRNA from 1 species